rnacentral:misc_RNA from 1 species
GCCAGUGAGUGUGUUGCCCGUGGUUGUGCUUUGCAAUGUGCCAUGCUCAGCCCCACAUUUAAAGUGAGGGAAUUUCAGGUCAAUGAAAGUUCCCCAUUCCCAAUUGCAUUGUCAUGGAAAGCUUCUUCUCAAGAAGCGCAGAAUGGAGCAACAGAUAACCAACAGUUUUCAGUUGUCUUUCCCAAGGGGAAUCCCAUACCAAGCAUCAAAGCUCUGACGUUCUAUAGAUCCAGCACAUUUUCGAUUGAUGCUAUUUACACGGAUACGAGUGAUAUGCAGGCCUUACCCAAGAUUAGCACAUAUACGAUUGGUCCUUUUCAAUCGACCAAAGGUGAGCGUGCUAAGUUGAAAGUCAAGGUUCGCUUGAAUAUCCACGGAAUUGUUUCUGUUGAGUCGGCAACUAUGCUGGAGGAUGAAGAAGUCGAAAUUCCAGUAUCAGCUGUGAAGGAGCCAGCCACAAAGAUGGACACAGAUGCAGGAAAUGACUCUGCUUCUCCUGGUGAUGUAGACAUGCAUGAUGGUUCAAAUACUGGUGUAGAAAACGGUGAGUCACAGUCUGAAGACAAGGCUGAAAGGAUGGAAACGGAUGCUAAGACCGAGGCACCGAAGAAGAAGGUGAAGAAAACCAAUGUUCCAGUAACUGAAUAUGUUUAUGGAGCAAUGCCAUCUGCAGACCUGCAGAAAGCUGUUGAGAAGGAGUUUGAAAUGGCUCUUCAAGAUAGAGUGAUGGAAGAAACCAAAGAUAAGAAGAAUGCCGUAGAGGCGUAUGUUUAUGACAUGCGAAACAAGCUCCAUGACAAGUAUAAUGACUUUGUCACCGGUCCGGAGAAGGAUGAGCUUUCUGCAAAACUGCAAGAGGUUGAGGAUUGGUUGUAUGAAGAUGGC